rnacentral:rRNA from 1 species
AUGAAAGGGAGCCUCUGCCAUGAGUUGAAGAGUGACCUCCCGGCAGCCGAGGUGUGGGAGGUCUAUGGAGGCCUCCUUUUGGGCCAGUUGAUCCCUCAAUUGCUUCCCGACGUGCUCUCAAAGUUCGAGGUUGUGGUUGGAGAUGGUGGUGUUGGAACAGUCUUGCGUCUCACCUUUCCUCCUGGAAUCGCUGGACUGGAAUACCAGAAAGAAAAGUUCACCAAGAUUGACAAUGAAAACUAUGUCAAGGAGGCACUGGUAAUAGAAGGAGGUCUCCUCAAUCUCGGAUUUUUGAAGUAUUUCGUACGGUUUGAGAUUGUACGGGAUGCAGAUAACACAUCUACAAUAAUAUCAACUGUGGAAUAUGAAGUUGAGGACGAGCACACAGGCAACGCAGCCUUUGUCACUACCAGCACUUUCGCUCGUAUUGCUGAGGCCAUCACAAAGUACAUCAAGGCGCAGAAGGGCGAUGAGAAAGCCCCAGAGCAAACUUUGUAA